AUGCAUCAUGUUAAACCUAGGAUGUAUUAAAUAAAUGCGGAGUAUUAAAUCCGUUUAGAUAAACUUUGUUGAAAGUCCAAAGGGAUCUCUACAAUUCCGAGGGAUACAUUCAUACUAUGUGCAUUACUUGGAGAAAAUGUGCCAACAUGUUGACUGUUAUCGCUUAAUUAAUCAAUCAGGUGGGGGUAGGGAUAACUCUUUUAUUUAAUGCAAAAAAUGAAGCACAAUAUUCCUAGGUUCGGUAUGGUACAGAGUAUUCCAUCCAAGUUGAUCGAUUGGUGAAAUGACCUCACUCAGUGUGAUAGGAAUUAUGGGAGAAGAAUACUGGACAAUUUGCCAUCUUUAAUGGAUAUUCGACCAUGAAAGGAACUGAUUGAGGCUGCUACUAUGUUUUGGGAUGAAAAAAGGGUCGUCUUUCGAUUCGGAAACUUGGAGAUGACUCCGCUCUUGGAGUAAAUUUGAGGUUUUGCUAAAUUCCCUUUGGCUAGUCCGGGAUUGCUGGUGCCGAAAAACUGCAUACCCCGUGAUUUUCUGAAAAUGUUCGGGAUCAAGAAGAACGAUGAACUAGGUUGUUUGAAGAAGUCUUACAUUUCUUUUGACUUUCUGUAUGAAUGGUAUUGACAUAGCAAAUCAUAUCGGUUGUUUCACGAAUAAUUGACCAUUACUUUUGUUGGGUGGAUUUACCGUAGAGUUUAUGUUUAAAUUGUGUGUUUCUUGGAGAUGCUGAUAUUCCCAAUGCAAGGAGGUAAAAAUCCAUACCCAACUAGCCAUGGUAGCUAGAACCAUGAUUGAGGGACAUUGUAUAUGCCAGUACACUAUUGUCCCGACCGGGGAUAGAAGGGGGAUAGGAGGGAGUUGCGCGGAUGGAGGCCGGAGCACCCCGGCCGCACUGCUCCCCAGUGUUUAAACAAGUUUGCGGGUCAUUCUGUUUUGUAGGUUUCAACAAUGAUCCUUCCGCAGGUUCACCUACGGAAAUCGUGUUACGAUUUCUCCUUCCUCUAAAUGAUAAGGUUCAAUGGACUUCUCGCGACGUCGCAGGCAACGAACCGCCCACGUCACCAUGAUCCAAAAAUUUUAUCGGAUCAUUUAAUCGGUUAGAGCGAGAGCGAUAUGUACAAAGGGUAGGGACAUAGUCAACGCGAGUUGAUGACUCACGCUUACUAGAAAUUCCUUAUUGAAGACCAACAAUUGCAAUGAUCUAUCCCCAUCAUGAUAAAAUUUCAAAGAUUACUCGGGCCUGUCGGCCAAGGCUAUAAAAUCAUUGAAUACAUCAGUGUAGCGCGCGUGCGGCCCAGAACAUCUAAGGGCAUCACAUACUUUCUAUUGCCUCAAACUUCUGUGGCCUAAAAGGCCGUAGUCCCUCUAAGAAGCUGGCCGCGAAGGGAUACCUCUGUAUAGCUAGUUAGCGGGCUGAGGUCUCGUUCGUUAAAGGAAUUAACUAGACAAAUCGCUCCACCAAUAAAGAACGACCAUGCACCAUCACCCAAAGAAUCAAGAAAGAUCUCUCAGUCUGUCAAUCCUUACUAUGUCUGGACCUGGUAAAUUUCCCUAUGUUGAGUCAAAUUAAGCCGUAGGCUUCACUUCUGGUGGUUCCCUUCCGUCAAUUCUUUUAAGUUUCAGCCUUGCGACCAUACUCCCUCCGGAACCCAAAAACUUUGAUUUCUCAUAAGGUGCCGGUGGAGUCCUAAAAGAAACAUCCGCCGAUCCCUGGUCGGCAUCGUUUAUGGUUGAGACUAGGACGGUAUCUGAUCAUCUUCAAGCCCCCAACUUUCGUUCUUGAUUAAUGAAAACAUCCUUGGCAAAUGCUUUCGCAGUUGUUCGUCUUUCAUAAAUCCAAAAGUGUCACCUCUGACUAUGAAAUACGAAUGCCCCAGAUUGUCCCUGUUAAUCAUUACUCCGAUCCAGAAGGACAAUGUAAUAGGACAGAAAUCCUAUAAUGUUAUCAUAUGCUAAUGUAUACAGAGCGUAGGAUUGCUUUGAACACUCUAAUUUCUUCAAAGUAACAGCGCCAGAGGCACGACCUGGCCAAUUAAGGUCAGGAGCGCAUCGAUGGAAGAAGGGACGAGAUGAUUGGUGCACACCUAGGCCGGACCAACCGGCCCAUCCCGAAGUCCAACUACGAACUUUUUAACUGCAACAACUUAAAUAUACGCUAUUGGAGCUGGAAUUACCAUGGCUGCUGGCACCAGACUUGCCCUCCAAUGAAUCCUCAUUAAGGGAUUUAGAUUGUACUCAUUCCAGUUUCCAGACUUAUAGAGCCUGAUAUUGUUAUUUAUUGUCACUACCUCCCCAUGUCAGGAUUAGGUAAUUUGCAUGCCUGCUGCCUUCCUUGGACGUGGUUGCCGUUUCUCAGUAUCCUUAAUUCUCCGUCACCCGUCACCACCGUUGUAGGCUACUAUCAUAACAUCGAAAGUUGAUAGGGGAGAAAUUUGAAUGAUGCGCCGCCGACAUGAUGACCGUGCAAUCCGUUGAGUUAUCAUGAAUAAGCGCAGCAACGGGCAGAGCCCGCGUCGACCUUUUAUCUAAUAAAUGCAUCCCUUCCAGAAGUCGGGGUUUGUUGCAUGUAUUAGCUCUAGAAUUACUACGAUUAUCCGAGUAGUAGAUACCAUCAAACAAACUAUAACUGAUUUAAUGAGCCAUUCACAGUUUCACAGUCUGAGUUUGUUCAUACUUACACAUGCAUUGCUUAAUAUUUGAGACAAGCAUAUGACUACUGGCAUGAUCA
rnacentral:lncRNA from 1 species